CAGGGAAGCGUUGAAGCAUUAGGAAGAGUCUGACAGAAUACGAAAGCCAAAAAUUCAAGGGCCAUCAGUUCAAUGCAGAACAAUGUGGGUGAACUUAUUGUGAAAACCUAUAUUAUGGCAUACAUAGUCCCACCUGAGUCAGUCCAUGUAAUAGAGGUCAGAGGACAAUGUGGCCAUAUCAUUGGUCAAGUGCCAGGCUCAAAUGAGUGUGAAGAAUAGCUCAAACUUCAUUCAAAAGUUAUCAUAAACGUUAUUUAUUUGAAAUCGAACCUACUGGCAUUUUUAUAACUUUGGACGCAUUGUACUCGCUUUUGAGCCACUUCCGUCUCGUUUGGGGUUGAAAAUUAACUAGUGAGAUGAAUUUGGUGUCCCCUAUCACACGGACCCUUAGGUGUCU